rnacentral:lncRNA from 1 species
UUUUCUCCUUAUGUGGAUAAGAUGGCUUUCUCUCCUACUUCAUCCCCUGGAUACAGCCCGUCAUCCCCUGGUUACAGCCCAUCGUCCCCUGGUUACAGCCCAACCUCUCCAGGUUACAGCCCCACGUCCCCAGGUUACAGCCCCACGUCCCCGGGGUACAGCCCCACUUCCCCCACUUAUAGCCCCAGCUCUCCUGGCUACAGUCCGACAAGUCCAGCAUAUUCUCCAACCAGUCCAUCGUACUCUCCCACAUCACCUAGUUAUAGUCCAACAUCUCCGAGCUAUAGCCCUACAUCUCCUAGUUAUAGCCCAACAUCGCCUAGCUAUAGCCCUACUUCGCCUGCCUACAGCCCCACUUCGCCUGCCUACAGCCCCACUUCUCCAUCUUACAGCCCCACUUCGCCAUCUUACAGCCCCACUUCGCCAUCUUACAGCCCCACUUCACCUUCUUACAGCCCCACCUCACCAAGUUAUAGUCCAACUUCUCCAUCAUAUAGUCCCACUUCUCCUGCAUACAGUCCUACCUCCCCUGGUUACAGCCCAACAUCUCCCAGUUACAGCCCAACAUCACCAUCUUAUAGUCCUACAUCACCAAGUUACAAUCCCUCGGCGAGAUACAGCCCCUCCCUUGCAUAUUCGCCAACCAGUCCAAAGCUGUCUCCGUCUAGUCCAUACAGCCC